rnacentral:rRNA from 1 species
GCCAGCAGCCGCGGUAAUACGAAGGUCCCAAGCGUUGUUCGGAAUCACUGGGCGUAAAGCGUGUGUAGGCUGCGCGGAAAGUCAAAUGUGAAAGCCCGGGGCUCAACCUCGGAACUGCAUUCGAUACUCCCGUGCUAGAGUAAUGGAGAGGUAAGUGGAAUUCCUGGUGUAGUAGUGAAAUGCGUGGAUAUCAGGAGGAACAUCAAUGGCGAAGGCAACUUACUGGACAUUUACUGACGCUCAGACACGAAGGCUAGGGUAGCGAAAGGGAUUAGAUACCCCUGUAGUCCUAGCAGUAAACGGUGCUCGCUUGGUGUGGGAGGAUUCGACCCCUUCUGUGCCGGAGCUAACGCGUUAAGCGAGCCGCCUGGGAAGUACGGUCGCAAGACUAAAACUCAAAGAAAUUGACGGGGACCCGCACAAGCGGUGGAGUAUGUGGCUUAAUUCGAUGCAACGCGAAGAACCUUACCUAGGCUUGGCAUGCUUGUCGUACUCUCCCGAAAAGGAGAGGUCACUUCGGGUGGACAAUGCACAGGUGCUGCAUGGCCGUCGUCAGCUCGUGUCGUGAGAUGUUUGGUUAAGUCCAGCAACGAGCGCAACCCCUGUGAACUGUUGCCAGCGCGUAAAGGCGGGGACUCUGUUCAGACUGCCCAGAUCAAC